CAGAUUAAACGUAGGCCUUCCGAACAUGGACUCGCCCUCCAUGCCACCGGACCUCCCCUCUCCUUCUAAGUUGGACUCUGCCAAGGUCUUAAAUUGUUGUUUGUUGCUUGGCACCAUGCCAGAUGGAUAAUUUCUGCUGCUUUGGAUGGGUAAUUGCAUUCUUCCAUCAUCUCCCAAAACUUCAUCUGUACUACCCAAUUAUCUUCCAAUAGCCAUAAAAUAAGAGUCUUACACUCCAAUCAAACCUUAUCUCUCAUUUCAAAAUAUCAGAAAGAAUGACAGAUGUUGAGCAAGAGGAUCUAAAGUUCUCUAUUUACAACACAGUUCCUUUGUCGUGAUUUGUGCUCUACUCUCUCGAAGGUGUCUUGGUGAGUUUCUGUGCAGUCCAUUGCCUACAUCCCGGCUGAGGGUCUCAGAGCGGCUCCCAGACCUGGGGGACCUUCGCUUGUGCCUGUGACCAUGGUGGUGCUGUCCAUUCUCUGUUGCUUUUGUCUUCCCUGAGCCCUCUUCAUUACCAUUCUCUGCUGAUACUGUGUAGACAAAGGGCCCAGUUGGUAUGUCAUCCAUUUCCAAGAU